rnacentral:misc_RNA from 1 species
UGCGAGACUGGAAAGGAAUAUUCUGACCCUAAAUACAGGUCUUUCUUGCCCUGAAAGGUGCAUGCUGAAGGGUUGUGGCCUAGUAAAAACUGCCUCUCAUGACCUUUUCUGUACUCGUACCAUGAGACAGGUCCGCAGGGUCACAGCUAGCGAAAAAACUUUAUUUUUGUAACUCUAUAUAGUCCAGUCCGGCCAUGAUGCU